CAUUAGAUGGCCGAAAAGUAAGCAAUGGAAUUUUAAAUCAUAAAAUAGAAAAUUAACACUUUCUUCUAAUGA
rnacentral:tRNA from 1 species